CGAUCAUCGGCAUCAUCUGCCGCAACGCCAUGGUGACGUCACCAUGGACGAUCUGCCGAUGAUAGAUAUCGAACUGCAAUUUCAGGUUGGGCAUUUUCAAGUCGUUGAUCACNAUCACGCUCGCAACGAAGUCGAAAUCGUUCAGGAAAUAUCCCGGCACGUCACGCGGAUUGAUCGGCUCCAGCAUGAGAUCGAUGUUUUCCUUAGCGAGCGCCUCGGCAGUCCAGGCCACGGAGCGGCGAAACGCAUCGACUGCUUUCGGAUCGCGGCGAUCGGCAAUUCCCGCCA
rnacentral:misc_RNA from 1 species